UUUCCUGCUGUAAUAACAAUUUGGCCCUAUCACCCCCUCUUACAGGUACUGGGAUAUGGUCAAUCGCAACACAUCUGAGUGUCGAGAGGUGGUGGUGAUUUUCCAAAAAGUGUCUGGCCACAGGUUUGUCCGACUUGCCAUCUCUGUAGGCAAGCCGGAUACUUGACCUGUGUCCCCUGAUCCUUUCACAGAGUGCGGUUUCAGCUUUUCCGACAUAGUUGAGGCCACAAGG